AGUGAACGCUGGCGGUAGGCCUAACACAUGCAAGUCGAACGGCAGCACAGGAGAGCUUGCUCUCUGGGUGGCGAGUGGCGGACGGGUGAGGAAUACAUCGGAAUCUACUCUGUCGUGGGGGAUAACGUAGGGAAACUUACGCUAAUACCGCAUACGACCUACGGGUGAAAGCAGGGGAUCUUCGGACCUUGCGCGAUUGAAUGAGCCGGUGUCGGAUUAGCUAGUUGGCGGGGUAAAGGCCCACCAAGGCGACGAUCCGUAGCUGGUCUGAGAGAAUGAUCAGCCACACUGGAACUGAGACACGGUCCAGACGCCUACGGGAGGCAGCAGUGGGGAAUAUUGGACAAUGGGCGCAAGCCUGAUCCAGCCAUACCGCGUGGGUGAAGAAGGCCUUCGGGUUGUAAAGCCCUUUUGUUGGGAAAGGAAUCCAGCCGGCUAAUACCUGGUUGGGAUGACGGUACCCAAAGAAUAAGCACCGGCUAACUUCGUGCCAGCCGCCGCAGUAACAC
rnacentral:rRNA from 1 species